GUUUCGGGCGAGGGAUCUUUGGGAGGUCUCUCUGGUAUGGAAACGAAAACUGUCCCGAUCAGGCGCUGAUCCGGAGGCCCAACCCGGCGUCAGC
rnacentral:ncRNA from 1 species